UCAUCCAUUAGCAAAAUUAUCAUCCUUAGGUGUGUUUCCCAUCCCUUUUGAGUUAAUCGUUGAUAUGUCUAUAAUUUGCAUGAUUUAGGCAUUCAUUCUUCACCACUUUGUCAUUCUUUCAUCCACAUUUCAUCUCAUUAGGAGUCGUUUUAGUGUGUUUUACAUACUUAGGACGAUUUUGCAUUAGGAUUGCAUGUGCAUGGCAUAUUUGGUUGUUUUCAGGUACUUUGGAUGCUUUUGGAGUUCAAACAGAGGAAAAACAGAACAUGAAGUCAAAAUGCCCAAUGACGCCUUCAGCAAAAGUACUCUAUCGCAGCCUCGGAGCUCUGCCAGGGCAAAUCACUCUAUCGCAACCCCGGAGAAGCAAACAGCUCAAUUUCACUCAAUCGCGAAGCCGGAGGAAUCACCCCAUCAGAACCACUCGAUCACACCCUCAUGACAUCCACUCGAUCGCACUCGAUCACAAGGUCGCUGGACCAUUCAAUCUCGAUUUCACUGCAUUUCACUCGAUCGCAAGACGGAGCCCCUGAAGCCCAGUUUGAUCAAUGACAUACUCGAUCACUGGGAAGCUCAUUUCAGCCCGUCUGAUGCCAAUGACACAUUCGGUCGCAGGAUCAUGACGUGAAGAUUCGCUAUAUAUUUAGUUUCCUUAUUUGUUUCAUUUUUUGGCUUAUAUAAACUACCUCUUAGGGUUUUCCCUAAGGCAUCCGCUAUUAUCCGUUUUUAUCUCGCUUUUACAUUUUCGCAACUUUGAUAGCCGCAGUGUUUCUCCUGCGACUUUGUAGUUUCGCUUUCAAGUAUUUGAUAUUCAGUUUUCGUUUAAGUCUUUCGUCAAUUCUGUUAUCAUGUUUUCAAUUGUUGCUUUGUUAUUGUCUUUGAUUAUGUCUGAGUAGUGAACUGUAUUUCUGAGGAUGGGAUAGAAUAGUUGUGGUUUACUUGGUCGUUUUAGGUGGUUGAGUUUAGAAUUCUAGAAUCCCUUCUAGAUUAGUUGCGCUUAUUGCUUAUUUCACUGGCUAAUGUGGAGUAUGAGUCCAGACGUCCAGCGUUCAGAAGGCGUUUAAUGGGCGUUGGAUCCUAUUAAUUCCAGAGAUACCUGACUCUACCCCAAGGGAUUGGCUGUAGAGAGGGUAUUGACUUUAACAUGUUGAUUCCAUAAUGCCUGCUUAGUUAGAGAUCACUAAAGGGAUUUAGGUCAGUGUCUAGCUUUGCUUGAGGAUUUCUAUCACGGGAGUGAAUUAAUCUGUUGUUGAACUUGUUGUCUAGGGAUAGCUUCUGUGAAGUUUUGUCAACCGCCUGAAUAGAUUAAGUAGACCACACUAUUCGAUUACCCCAUCCUUAGGAAUCGUUUAUCCAUUUGAUUGCCUGUUAUCAUUUCUGCUUUGUCAUUCACUUGCCUGCUAUUGCCAUUCCUGCUUUUAGUUUCAUUUCAUUUCUGUUAUUGCAUACUAGGACUGUUAGGACCAACCAACUUUCUGCUUGGCUUGACUUAGAGCUUUCUGAUCAUAUCUCAUCUGUUUGCAUCACACCGGAUUGGAUUGACAUCCUAAAAUACUACAACGACAAGAUAGUGUUUUAGGAUUAAUUGACAAAAAUCCUACUAUCAAUCGUGUAUUGUUGAUUAUGAUUUCAAUAUUAAUUU
rnacentral:sRNA from 1 species